rnacentral:rRNA from 1 species
GGGAGGCUACACAUGCAAGUCGAGCGGCAGCGGGAAGAUAGCUUGCUAUCUUUGCCGGCGAGCGGCGGACGGGUGAGUAAUGCCUAGGGAUCUGCCCAGUCGAGGGGGAUAACAGUUGGAAACGACUGCUAAUACCGCAUACGCCCUACGGGGGAAAGGAGGGGACCUUCGGGCCUUCCGCGAUUGGAUGAACCUAGGUGGGAUUAGCUAGUUGGUGAGGUAAUGGCUCACCAAGGCGACGAUCCCUAGCUGUUCUGAGAGGAUGAUCAGCCACACUGGGACUGAGACACGGCCCAGACUCCUACGGGAGGCAGCAGUGGGGAAUAUUGCACAAUGGGGGAAACCCUGAUGCAGCCAUGCCGCGUGUGUGAAGAAGGCCUUCGGGUUGUAAAGCACUUUCAGUAGGGAGGAAAGGUAGUAACUUAAUACGUUAUUGCUGUGACGUUACCUACAGAAGAAGGACCGGCUAACUCCGUGCCAGCAGCCGCGGUAAUACGGAGGGUCCGAGCGUUAAUCGGAAUUACUGGGCGUAAAGCGUGCGCAGGCGGUUAUUUAAGCCAGAUGUGAAAGCCCCGGGCUCAACCUGGGAAUUGCAUUUGGAACUGGGUAACUAGAGUCUUGUAGAGGGAGGUAGAAUUUCAGGUGUAGCGGUGAAAUGCGUAGAUACCUGAAGGAAUACCGGUGGCGAAGGCGGCCUCCUGGACAAAGACUGACGCUCAUGCACGAAAGCGUGGGGAGCAAACAGGAUUAGAUACCCUGGUAGUCCACGCCGUAAACGAUGUCUACUCGGAGUUUGGUGCCUUGAGCACUGGGCUCUCAAGCUAACGCAUUAAGUAGACCGCCUGGGGAGUACGGCCGCAAGGUUAAAACUCAAAUGAAUUGACGGGGGCCCGCACAAGCGGUGGAGCAUGUGGUUUAAUUCGAUGCAACGCGAAGAACCUUACCUACUCUUGACAUCCACAGAAGAGACCAGAGAUGGACUUGUGCCUUCGGGAACUGUGAGACAGGUGCUGCAUGGCUGUCGUCAGCUCGUGUGUGAAUGUUGGGUAGUCCCGCACGAGCGCAACCCCUAUCCUUAUUUCAGCACGUAUGGCUUAGACUGCGUAACGGAAGUGGACACAUCAUUAC